rnacentral:tRNA from 1 species
AGGUAAAUAGGUUUAUACCCUUUAUUUUGCAAAAAUAAUGUUAAGAAAAUUUUUCUUUUUAUCUU